rnacentral:lncRNA from 1 species
CACGCGCGUCUUCAAUAUCCUCGGUCUUAGCGUCGAGAAGGCCACCGUAGAUUUUGAAGAAGACUAUUUUGUCAUGACGUUCUUCGUAACCGAUUCCCGCGGCAACAAGAUCGAUGAUCAGAAGAGCUUGGAAAGUAUCAACAAGGCCUUGAUCGACGCAAUCGACGGUGACGAUGAUGCCGCCUUGUCUGUGGCUCCGCCAGAUAGAGGGGUCGUGGUAAGGAAGCCUCGGUUGGAUUUUGGGGAGAGGAAAGGCCAAGCUGAAAGGAUGCUUGGAUUGAUGGAUGUUUUCUUGAAGAACGACCCGAUCAGCUUACAAAAGGAUAUUUUACAUCACGUUGAGUACACGGUGGCUCGAUCGCGAUUUAGUUUCGAUGAUUUUGAAGCUUAUCAAGUAAGAUUAAAGUUUCGUUGUUGGGUUGAGAACGAAUUUUGACUUCCUUUUUAAAAAUUUGGCGGGAAUGUAUGGUAUAACUUAAGUGCGAUUGUUUAACAGGCUUUGGCGCACAGCGUAAGAGAUCGGUUGAUUGAACGUUGGCAUGAUACUCUGAUACAUUUCAAGAAGGAAGACCCAAAGCGAGUUUACUUUCUUUCGCUUGAGUUUCUUAUGGGUAUACUUUCUUACCGUUAUGAGCCUUAUAAUGUUUGGUCUAAUUAAAAUGAUGGAUAAGUUUAAGAGCUCUCGAGAAGUUUGGUUAUGCUUUCUGUUACUCUCCUAGCACCUAUAGUUUAUCAAAUCUAGAGGAUCUGACUUUGGUUUCUAUUACAAGUAGAACUAGUUUUUGAAUUCACAUGUUAUUCUGGAUUUUCUUCAGUGCUUUAAAUAUCAUUCAUGCUAAACAACUGUAUGCAAUUUAUAUUUUCAGGGCGUUCGUUGUCAAAUAUUGUCAUCAACCUUGGAAUUCGCGACCAAUUUGCAGAUGCUUUAAGCCAGCUUGGUUUUGAUUUUGAAGUUUUAGCUGAACAGGUUAACUUGACAUUCGAUUUUCUUCUGUCCUCCUUUAUUGUCCUAAUCUUAGAUUAUUAUUAUUAGCAUAUCACGAUCCGGAAAAGUAAUUGUUUGUUUGCGAGGAGAAUUGAAUACAUCAAGUAUAUUUAUUGGAGAUCAUGUUGUGUGGUAGUCGGAGAUUUGAAACUAGGUGAAUCCAAUGGAUGGCCAUAUUCUUGGGAACCUAGAGCCACAAAACUGUAUGAUGUUAAGGUGUGCUCGUCCUUUCGAAACAGCCUCUCCUUGGAAUUAGAGCUCGAGGGAGAUCUCUGUUUGAACAAGUUAAAACUGAAUUCUUAAUCAUGUUGGAAGAAAGCUUUUCUUAUAUAUAUAUUGUACACUCAGAUAAUUAUUUACUUUCCUCUUUAUCUUAUUCAUUAUGAUAUUCUAAGGAAGGAGAUGCUUGCCUGGGUAAUGGAGGCCUUGCUCGUCUUUCAGCAUGUCAAAUGGAUUCUCUAGCAACUUUGGACUACCCUGCAGUGGGGUAUGCCUCUAUUCUAUAUUUUUCUUGUAAGAUUUGUGGAAGCAUUUCAAGUUAAAAGUAAUACAUAUAAGUCUUCCAUUAAGUAGGGGUACUGAAUCAUUAUCCAUACUGGCUUUGAAACCAAAAUGGAUUAUGGACCGUGAAGUUGACUGCUUAUCUUCUAAUUAGUAUUAGCUUAUUUAUAAUCUAUGCUAGUUUUCCUUUUUCAAAAUCAUUUAGCGAAUUCUUGCAUCAAAAUCAUGUCAUUUAGUUCAUGCAUAACUUGUAUAUCCUCAAACGAGUAUUGGCUUUUAUGUUUAAUAAUCUAAUUCUAGGGGAUUGUUUCUGCAGCUAUGGAUUACGCUACCAGUAUGGGUUGUUCCGUCAAGUUAUAGUGGAUGGAUUUCAACAUGAACAGCCUGAUUAUUGGUUAAAUUUUGGAAACCCUUGGGAGAUUGAGCGAGUUCACAUAACAUAUCCUGUAAAGGUUUGUAAGCACUUAGAUGUGUUCAAUUAUCUGUGGGAAUAUUGGAUGUUUGACUUUAUCUUUCUAUUCUUUUGCAAUUCUGUAUUGUUUACUAAACUUCUGUUCACUAUGUUUUUGGAUGGUAAAGUUCUAUGGGACGGUCACAGAUGAAUUUUUGAAUGGAGAGAAAUGUAAAGUUUGGGUUCCUGGAGAAAUGGUAAGGCUGUAAUUCUUUUCAUAAAUUGAAGCCUAGACAUUUGCAUAAAACUCUUUAUCCAUUAUUUAUACUCAUGGGCGAUGCAUGAUUUAAAUGAGUGCUAAAUUUAAGUGAAUGUGGUUGGCUUUUUUUAGCUUAGCAAUAUCUUCAUAUUCGUAGGUUGAAGCUGUGGCAUAUGACAAUCCAAUACCUGGUUAUGGAACAAGGAAUACCAUUAAUCUUCGCCUUUGGGCUGCGAAACCAAGUGAUCAACAUGAUAUGGUAAUUUCGACAAAGUCCAAUCAGUUAUGCAUGAGUUCUAUGCACACUUAGGUGGAUUAAACUAAAGUACGAAGAUCUGGCACAUAAAACUAAUUCUUAUGAUCUAGAUUCGCUAGAAAUGCUAUAGUUGGACUGAGCUAACAAUGCUGAUUUGGUAGCUUAAAACAUAGUCAUAUAUGCAAUCAUGUGUUUUUUUCUGUACGGAUCUCUUCUAUAUCCUACCCAUCAAGCUCUGCUUAGACAGCGAGGGAUUUGGAAAUCUUUUUGAAUAAUUUCUUUCAAUUGUUUUGGCUUAAUUGUUUUGAAACAUGCUUAAUCCAACUGAAGUGAUAUCAGUUAUUUGCUGUUUCAAUGUGCUUGUUUCUUUUAUCUUUCUUUUCUUUUUUUUUUCUUUAUUUCACUAUUUGCAUUUUGGAGAAUUAUAUUUUGGUGAGAGCUUAUGUUAGUAAGGUUAGCAUCUAUCCUGUCUUGUAUAGUCUUUGAGGCAGGUAUUUGAUGUCGGUUCUAGAAAGAUUUGUUAAUUAGUAAGAAUUUUGUAUAUUUCAGGUAUUUUGUUACUUUUAGUUUUAGAGACUUUAAUUUUUUGUAGGUGUUAUUUUGGAAAAUUCUUUAAGAUUCUGAUUUUUGGUUUUGUAUGAUAUUUAUUGCCAUACAUGCUUAUGGAUUCUUGUUAGUAUGCGACCUUGUUAUGUCUCAAAUUCUUGGGUUUGGAGCAUGGCAAUGCAGGAGUCUUUUAACACUGGGGAUUAUGUUGAUGCUGUAGUCAAUAGACAGAGGGCAGAAAGUAUUAGUAGCAUACUAUACCCCGACGAUCGUUCUUAUCAGGUGUGAUUGCUUUUCCUUAACUUGAUUGGUUACAUCAAGAUUAGAGUCUGCCUCAUCAAUUUUUUCAUGCUUCGUCUUCUAAAGUUUUUACUGCAAUUGUUUGAUUUAUGGGAAAUUAAAGGUACUUAGUCGGAGAUUAUUAAUGUUGCAUUCACUGAAAACUUGGUUGAAAUGUUUGCUAGGGGUUGAACAAAUAUGUUUCUUUGUCUUUCUGUAGAUCUACAUUCAUAUUUCUUUUUGGUGGUUUCUUUCAGGGUAAAGAAUUGCGGUUGAAACAGCAAUAUUUCUUUGUAUCCGCGUCAGUACAAGACAUCUUCAGAAGAUUCAAAGACACUCAUAAAAAAUUUGAUGAGUUUCCAGAGAAGGUUCUUAGCUGCAUGUUUCAUGUGUCUAUUAGUGCAGAAGCAUAUGUAGAGACACCUCAAAUCGGAUUAGUUUGUACUGAUCUGAUCAUGUAGUGAGGUGACAUGCCUUGGUUCUACCCUCCUGAAUCUUGUGUAACAUAGCUGUUCUCAAGGUUCUCUCAGGUUCUCAAUGUCACAUCCUUAACAAUUGAUUUGCUUUCAGAUGAUGGCAGUUGUGAGAUUUGAGUGAGGAAUCUUUCUCUAUACUGAGAAGGAUUUCUUUCCACUUUUAUUAUCAUCCCUAGGUUGAGUGCUGACUGCUGCUUGACUCCUGUUCUGUCAACUCCAAUUGCAUUUUAUAUAGGUUGCACUGCAGCUGAAUGACACUCAUCCAUCUCUUGCAAUAGCUGAGGUGAUGAGAGUGCUUCUGGAUGAAGAGCAUUUAAGCUGGCAUAGAGCAUGGGACAUCAUAUGCAAAAUAUUUUCGUUCACAACUCAUACUGUAUCACCUGAAGGACUGGAGAAAAUUCCUGUGGAUCUACUGGGCAACCUUCUCCCUCGACAUUUGCAGGUGUGUUUUGUUUGAAUUUUGCAAUGUACUUUCUUCUUUGAUAAAGUUUACCCGUUUCUUUGAAUUACUUUAUGUGAUUGAAAGCCUAAGUAAUUCUACUGGACAAGAUUCAUCUUACAAUAUUCUUUCAUUUAUAUCUGAUGUCAUAUGGUAUAAGCUUCAUCUUAAUAAUUUUCUUAACUACAGCAUCGUGCCUCCAAGGUACAGAAGCAUGCAUGUGGUUAAUUAUUAUUUUCCGCAUAACUCUUUCCUGUAUUACCACACUCCUUUAGAUUGUAAUUUAUUAGUUUGAUUGGUUGUCAACUUGUUUCGUACUAUUUUAGAAAAUUGCUCUUUUCAGAUUAUAUAUGACAUAAACUUCAACUUUGUGGAAGAGUUAAAGAAGAUGAUUGGUUUAGAUUAUGAUCGGCUGACCAGGAUGUCAAUUGUUGAGGAAGGUGCUGUGAAGGUAUAUAUCUCAAAUUUUAUGGGUUUCUAAAAUUUAUAUUGUGUUGAUGGAUUGCUAGAAUGUUAUGAAAAUUGAAGUCCAUAACCAUCCCUUUUGUCAGAAUAUUCGAAUGGCAAAUCUAUCAGUUAUUUGUUCUCAUACCGUGAAUGGUGUCUCCAGAUUACAUUCAGAGUUGUUGAGAACAAAAUUAUUCAAGGUAAAACUUAUAUUUGUUUUUUCCUGCUUAAACGUUGCCUUUCCUUGUAACAAGUUUGAAAUAGAACUCAGCUUCGAUGAAUGUCUUUAAUUAGUUGAUCUUAGUUGUUGUCUAUUAAUGCUUUUCAGGACUUUUAUGACCUAUGGCCGCACAAGUUUCAAUACAAAACUAAUGGGGUGACACAGGUUUAAAAUAAGUAACAGUUUUUUCAGUACAUUAACUUACUGAUAGGUUAAGUUGUUUCCUACCUGUAAAUAAAUUUUAGACUUGUUACUGUGAUGCUGUGAUGCAUCUUGCCCUGAUAACUAAAAGUACGCGAAUAAUUUAAAUUCACCUGCUGUGUAGUUAUUUUGAUCUCUUAAUAUUUGGUUUCUCAGCGUCGCUGGAUUGUUGUUAGCAAUCCUAGUUUAUGCGCUCUUAUCUCAAAAUGGCUUGGAACAGAAGCUUGGAUCCGUGAUAUUGACCUUUUAAUAGGCUUGAGAGACUAUGCAACUAAUGCUGAAUUGCAUCAAGAAUGGAAGAUGGUACUUUCAUAGUUGGCAUGCUUCACCUUUGAAACAAAACAUAUCAUUGGCUAUCUCAUUCAUUUAUUGUUAACUAUUAUCUCAUAGGUUAAGAAGGUCAACAAAAUAAGGCUUGCCGAGUACAUUGAAGCGAUGAGUGGUUUGAAGGUUUUGAAGAAAGCUAUAGUUUUUGCACCUACAUUUCUUUUUCCAUUUUUAAGGAGCUCUGAAAUGAUGUAAUGUUGGUGUGCAUUAUUUGUAAUGGGCAGGUCAGCUUGGAUGCAAUGUUUGAUGUGCAGACAAAGCGAAUACAUGAAUAUAAGCGGCAGUUGCUUAAUAUACUUGGCAUUAUCCAUAGAUAUGAUUGCAUCAAGGUUAACACCAUCUUUGGCUGAAAGAGCCAUGAAAACUUGUGGAAUUUAUCAAAUGCUUCUUUUUAUAUGCGCCUUUUUGAAUUGUCCGUGUAGCAAACUAACAACAUAGGUUUAAGUUAUUACCAUCCUGUUGCUGGAUGUUUGCAAGACCAACAAUUCCUUACUCAUUGUAAUAUGAGUUGAUUAACCAUUUCCUUAACCAUCAUCUUUUUGGCUUUGCAUAAAGAUGUUUAAGUAUUAGAAAUUGUACAUAUUUUCGAACAUUGUAAAAUAAGUUAAAAGAAUGUGUAACUCAGAGGUAUCUUUGCUCAUGCUAUUCUCAUUUGGUGCAGAAUAUGGACAAGAAUGAUAGGAAAAAUGUUGUACCACGGGUCUGCAUAAUUGGAGGAAAAGCUGCUCCAGGAUAUGAAAUUGCAAAGAAGAUUAUAAAACUCUGUCAUGUUGUGGCUGAAAGAAUCAACAAUGAUAAUGAUAUUGGAGAUCUUUUAAAGUUGGUAAGCUAGUAUUUAUUUUAUCUAGAAGUUCAAUGGAACUCUGAAGCGUGUAUUGUUUACUCAGAAGGGUGAGUAAUUUACCCUUAAAACAGAUAUAAUCAGCAACCAUGAUGAUGAAUUAAAGCUGCAAGGACCUUUAUAUUUGUCUUCUAAUAACAAAUCUGUCUUUCUAAGUCAUUAAGUAUUAUUGCAGGUCUUUAUCCCUGAUUACAAUGUUUCUGUUGCUGAGAUGGUAAUACCAGGGGCUGACCUUUCUCAACAUCUAAGGUAGUAUGCAUAAGUUUUGCACAUUAGAUGAUAUUAUCAAUUUCGUUAGCAGUUACAUUAUGUUUUGUAGUGAUUGCUGAUUGGGAUUUUUCUGUGGUCAACUAUUGGCUUCACUUAUAUAGAUAGAUCUAUUUGUCACUCUAAAGUUGUAUGCCUCCAUUUUACCAUUAAUUUGGGUCGAAAUAUUUUGGAAUCUUUUAGUAUUAAUUGUCAUUAAGCUUAUGUAUGAGCAGUUCAGAAUCACUAGGUUGAUGGAAUAAUAUAAUAUAAUAUAAUAUCCAGGUGAUUAAUUGGGGCAGAAUUAGUCUCUCCACAUUCUGAGCCCCGUUUUCCAGAAUUAAAAAAAAAAAAACCUGCUUCCACUCAACUUGUCUACUUCUGAUGUAUACUUCUUUUACUUUCUGAUCCAGCACUGCAGGACAUGAGGCAUCAGGAACUGGCAGCAUGAAAUUCUUGAUGAACGGAUGUUUACUUUUAGCCACAGCAGACGGUUCUACAAUUGAAAUGGUUGAAGAAAUAGGUCAGGAUAACAUGGUAAGUGCUAAAUCAACAGUCAUACAAAUGAAUCAAGGUAAAAGUACCAUGAAGUCCUCUAUAUUAGGAGUCAGAUUGUAUUUUACCUCCUCUACUCAAGAAAUGAGCAAAUUAGUCACUCUACAUUAGAUCAAAGAGCAAACUGGUCCUUUUAUAGAAAAUUUCAUCCAUUUUUGCUGUUAAAAGUUGGUCUCUGUACGUUAGCAUGAGGUACACAUGGCAUGUCACAUGUCACUGUCUAGUUAUUUCAUCAAUCAUGCCAGUUUUUAAUAGUACAAAAGAAUGAAAUUUUUAAUAGAAAGGACCAAUUUGCUCUUUAAUCUAAUGUAUAGGGACUGGUUUGCCUAUUUUUUUAGUAGAGGAGGCGAAAUGCAAUCCAACUCUUAGUACAAGAGCCUCCAUGGUACUUUUACAAUGAAUUAACAAUAUUAGUUGGAGUAGAUUUUGAUAACAUUUCUUUCAGUUCCUGUUUGGAGCAAAAGCGCAUGAAGUUGUUGCAUUGCGCAAGAAAGGACCCACUCUUAAAGUUCCUCUUCAGUUUUCGCGUGUUGUAAGGUAUUAUACCCCUUCAUUCUACGUAAUGUAUAGCUUUAUCAGUACGUUGCAUCUUAGUUUCUCUGUAAAGGAGAGUAUAUGUAUCCUUGCUUUUCUUAUACAGAGGUAGAGUUGAUUUAGAUAUUAUUGGUUUAAAUUUCAAGUGAUUUGAGUGGCAUUGUGUAACUAUUAUAUGUAGGAUGAUCCGAGAUGGUCAUUUUGGAUUUGAAGACUAUUUCAAAUCUUUGUGCGACAAGAUAGAGGGCACGAGUGACUAUUUUCUUCUUGGUGCCGAUUUUAUGAGCUAUCUAGAGGCCCAGGUAAAUAGUUGGUUUUCCAUCAGUUAGAAAUAAGAAUGCCUUGUAAAAGGGAAUUGCAUUUUAAUUGUGGACUGUGUUGAGAUGAACAGGCAGCCGCCGAUAAAGCGUUCGUUGAUGAAGAGAGAUGGACAAAAAUGAGUAUACUUAGCGCAGCUGGCUCUGGGAGAUUUAGCAGUGAUAGGACAAUCCAAGAGUAUGCUGAAAACACUUGGGACAUUCAACCUUGCAGAUGUCCCUUUUGAUUUGGGAAGUGAGAGCUACUCGAAAUAGAAUGAAGCUCUCGCAAUGUCAUGUGCGGGGCUUCUCUAUUUAUUAAUAAAAUAAAACGAAUUGAAUCGAAUAAAAUUACAAUGAAUAAUAACAAUGUUUCUAAAACUAAUAAUAGAAAAUAAUCAAAGCAUUCAAAAAUAUUUGAGUUGGAGCUUGACAUAAAUAUUGUUGUUGAUAGGACCUUAUAAAUGUUUAUUUAAAAAAAUUCAGACGGAAACCUAUUGCAAACUUUUUUGCCCAUUUCAAACAAUUUUGAUUUUGGACGAAUUAUAAUAAUUUCUUCUCUUUUCCUUUACCAGAAAGAUAUACCUUGUCUUUUUCGUAAAUAGAAUUAACUUUAUUCAACUGAUUUUUGUUUGGUUGUUCAUACUUCAUGAAAUAACAAUUUUCUCCUGGAUUCUACAAGCUUCGAUUACCCGCCACUAUUUCUGUUUACUUCUUCCGAGAAGAAAAAAGGAGGAAAGAUAGAAAAAAAAAAAAAGGUUGUUUAGAAGAGGCAGUAAUGGCGGUUAAUAUGAUUCUCCUUCCCUCCAUUUUCAGUUUUUUCUUCUUCCUCUUCUUCUUCUUCUUCUUCUUGUCACUCACAUCUCAAGAUGAACAAAGUAACAACCACAAUCUCUUGAUCCUUGAAUUGCGCGACUCCAAGCUCAAGAUCUCUCGUUUGGGUAAAAUUUCUUUUUUAUUUCUUCAUUGAUAAAUAAAUACCUUACUUAGAGUUUCCAAACAAACACUGAUCUUAACCUCGAUUCCUUGACUAUUGUAAAAUAUGGAUGCAGAAUCUGUUCUUGAAGAAAGAAUUCAAAACCUUAAUGCUAAAACCCUUUCUGUUAAGGAACACGGGAAAUCCCUCGAGGACAUGGCAAACAAGAGCACUUAUCUGCAGUCUGCUCUAUUUGAUCUUAAGGUUCAAUUCUUUCCUAAGAAGCUUUGCUUUUGUUUUUAGCUUUGUUUUCAUUUGUAUGUUACUCGGGUUUAUUUGGAUUGAAUGUCUUCUCCCUAUUGAUGUCUCAAAAUGAAAAAAAAAAAGGGGGGGGGGCUGCUUUUGAAAGCAGAAAAUUGAAUUGUGGUACGGUUUAUUCACUUAGUAAUCUUGUUCCAAAAAUACAUAGCAUAUUGACAUGUGAUUUUGCAAUUUCUAAAUGUAUAUAGCAUAUUGACAUGUUAUUUUGCAAUUUCUAAAUUGUAGGAUUAUUCAUUUCUUGCUGAUGAAAAAAGCUUAACGCUCUGGAAGAGGAGGUUCGUUUUAAAUGCUUCUAUAAAUAUAAUCGCUCUUUCAAACUUUUUUUCGUCCUAUUUGAUUCCUUGUCAUGUUUGUACGGGUGAGUGGCAAGAAAUAUUUGCUUUAGUGCAAUUCAACUUAGUACCAGGCUUCAUGAUCCUAGGUACACGGCCUUUGGGCUGUUUCGAGAAAGAACAAUUUUGAUCUUCAUGUUUUAGAGUUGAAAGCACAGGACGCCGAGGAUAGACUGGAAGCUGUUACUUCAUAAGUUGGAAAGGUUAGCAUUUACAUUCGUUAAUUUUGUUUCUGUAUAGAGACUCUGCUUGUAAAUGAUGAGGGCUUCGUCUUUGUUUUUUUUUUUUUUGGGGUACUAUUAUAAUAUGAGGUGAACCCUAAACCCUGGGGUGUCAACAAGAGAGCAUCAAUCACUGCUCCAAGGGGAUGUUGGUGAGGGGUUUUUCUUGUUUGUCAUACACCAUGACCAUCUAAUGCUGAAUGACUAAGCAUUUCUUCAUAUUAUAACGUUAUAUAAUCUAUAAUAAACUUUAAUGCCUCGUUUAGUUAUCUAGUGUAUUAACACAAGGAAAAGCUUACUACAUAAGUAUUAAAGUAGUUUGUCAUAACAUAUAGUGUAUAUUUAAACUUGAAAUUAGAAAGAUAAGUAGAACUCUAGUAAAAAAUAGGACCUCUUCAAAAUAAGAAAAAAAAAUUCUUUCUCAUUGCUCAAAACAAGUUGUGCUAGUGGUUAAAAAUUACCAUCUGAAGUUAGUUAGUUUGUAACUCAUGUACUAAGACAUGAAGAAAUAAUAUUCCUACCGAACGUAGCAUAAGAGUUUCAUCAAUAACUGCAAGAAUGCUUUAAGCACCUAUUUGCUGCUGUUCCAAUUAUUGAAGUUUGUGUUGCCUCAUUUCUAGAUUUAAAUAUCCUUGUUGGGUUGGGAGAGGUUUUGUUGGGUUGGUCAUCAGGUAUUAUGCUUUAGGUACCAGUCACUGGCUCAACGCUAAGCUGUAUUUCUUUAAAUGGAAGAGAAAUAUUAUAUCCUCAUAUUCUUUCUAAGUUGUUAAUGAAAAUGACCAUAUUUUAUCAGAACUCUUUCUUGGUUAUUUGAACUUUCUUUUGAUUGUUGAUGUGUAAAAGGCUUGAAAACUUGUUUAUUCCCUAUUGGUUUUAUUAUCUCUUGAUAUAACUAAUAUUGAAAUAAUUUGUAUUUUACUCACUCAAAGUUCCAUUCCCUUGCAUUUAGAUGGCAGAAGUUGUUACAGAACAAUGGGUUCAAAUUCAACAUCUUGAGCAGGCACUUCAAAUUGCUAAAGUAUGGUCUUAGGCCCUAAUGAUAUCAGUUAUUUGUUAAACUCAGGGAAAUUUGAAAGAAAAUGAAGAUAAAGGUUUUUCUCAUUAUAAUUAUCCUUUAUUUGCAUCAUUUCUUUGUGUUACAGAUGAGGGCAUUGCAAGCUCAAAAGCAAAGGAAUAUGAGAUGCACAUUCUUGAAGGUAAGAUAAUAAGUUGACAGUCUUUCAGACCUCUUCUUUUCCUCAGUCUCUGUCCCUUUAAAUUACUGUAAAUUUUAUCUUUGUAUAUCAAAGCAUCAGCAACAGUUAUAACUUUUAUAGUUCCUUUUAGUUAAGGAAAAAAUACUUUGUCAUAUGCUCGUGUUUCAUGUUAGUCAUAAGAUAAUCUAAUCUUGUAUGUGAAUAGUUCAUAGAUGGCAUUUCUGGAAGACAUCUCCCGAAGCCGUUCAAGGCCUUGGAUUCUUAUUCAUUGGGAAAAGGACCUAUCAUAAGAUACUACGUGUCUUAAGCUCUGCAACAAUUGAAAAGAUUUUACUCAGCAAUUAGAAGGUUUCACCCUGAGGUAUGUUUGAUACUGCAUGACUUUCUAGAUUCUUGUCUGAAAAAUAAUGGUGUCACUCUUGAAGGUCUUCACAUGUCAAAACUUACUUGACAUUACCUUUGUGAAGUUUCCAUUAAAAAAAAGUGGUCAAGAAACAUUUGAAUUUCAGUAUUGCGCUUGCCUCUAUCAACACCUCUUCCACUCUCCUUAGCAAUUUGACACAGAAGACUGUAAGAUAUAAUGGCUUCAAGAUUGCAGAAUCUCUUUCUUUUACUAAGUUCUGAAACUUAUUAUGGAAACUUUUGGUCUUUUCCAGCCUAAAAAAUGGAAAAUCGGUGGGUUGAUUGGUCAUGUAAAUAAGACCGAGUAUUCGUGGAAUUAUAGUUCUAUCAGCCAAGAAGAGUAUAUUAUGAACCUUAAACUAUGUACCUACAUAGACUUUGAACCUUAAUUGGCCCGUUAUCAGAUGUGAAUGUUGCCUUGAAUGAUAUUAACCAUACUUAACUUUUAUUACCAAGGCACUGAAAUUGCUUGUAAGAGAAGGAUAAUAAUUGUCUUGCACUUUCAACUUGAAAUUCUCUGCGUACAAUCAUCUCUGUUGGAUGUAUGCAGACAUGAAUUCUGCAAUCUUGUGCUUUAGUUCAGAAUAUUAUUUAGUAACAAUUCAAUUUCCUCCAAUGCACAGAAUUUGGCCUGCUUUACAAUUGAAGGAGUUAAAUUAGCAGCAUGUUAAAUUUCUUCCAUCUGUCUCCUUUGUGCUCAUCAGAGGUUCCAGUUUACAAGUUAAUAUGCAUUAGUUUUAGAAAAUAUUGGCCAAGUACAAAGAAGUAUAUCCCUUCCCUAGGAACCUCUGGCUUUCCAAGAAAUAAAUGUUUUCUGUUUGUUUGCAGUUGCAAGCUUUCAUCAAAUAGGAGAUGCAAAGAAAUGAACUUACUGCUGCUUUUGUCAAUGAUGAACUGGUAUUCUUUCUGGUAUGUUCUUGAGUACCAGCUGCCAUCUUCUGUACAUGAAGAUUUACUUGAAUUGCUGGUAUAAUUCAUUUUAUGGUAUUUCAGGCUUCUGCUUUCAUUACCUUCCCUAUACUGGGUUCUUGGAUGCUGCUUUUAACAUAGUUCAGCUAGGUGAAGAAAUCUUCUUUUAGGGGGUAGUGUCUUACCCUGAAAUAGUAGGUGACAUCCAAGCUGUUGCACUUUGUUUUCUCUGAUCUCUUUUACAGAUUGGUUUUUGAUAUUAAAAGGUGAAAGAAGAGUUAGACACAUUACUGCGUACAGCACCGGGUCAUUUUGUUGCCAAUGAGUCAAUUUUACAUGGAAGUAUUCCAGGGUCCAGAUCAAUACAGUAUGAUAUUCAUUGACCCAAAUGUUGAUUUUUGAGGCUUAAGAUAUUUGCAUCUAUUUGUAGCCUAAUCAAAAUUGGAGUCGAUCAUUGAAUUGAUUGUGUACAAAGAUACGCAGACAUUUACACACUGGGAGCGUUUCACGUCCAUGACAAUUUUAGUCAUUUUCUUUAAAAAAAAAUGUUGGGAUUUGAAUUUUAAAUCUUUUUUUCUUAAAAAGUUGGUUUCGGUAACGCCGUUGAUGAAACUAAAGAACAGCCGUGGCAUCCAUGAGUGAAGAUUAACUAUUAAACAAAAACAAAUGAGGAAAGUGGUGAGGAGGAAUCCCAGAUUUUUGUUAAAAGAAAAAGGAAAACGUGAAUUCAUUCAUGAUUCAUCAUCUCUCUGUAGUCGGUCAUCAUGAAAUCAACGUAAAGAAAGGCAAAUGGCAGGCGAUAUGGCAAUUCCUUGAUGAAGGUAUUUCAAGCCUUGCAAAAAAACAAAAACUUCCUUUGUUUCUUUUUCUUUUUUUUGUCUCCUUCCGAAGUCACAAGGCUAAUCCAUAAUUGAGACUGAAAAAAGCAAAAAUGGAAGAGUCGACAUGGGAGCAAAAGCUCCAGGCUCUAACCCACAUCCUAACAAGCCCCACAACCUCACCGCCUCUCCACUCUCAACUCUUCAUCUCCACACAAAUACCAUGUUUCCUCAACUGGGAUUUCCCUCCAAUUCUCUGCAAUAAACCCAACUCCCAUACCUUCCCUUCUCUCCACCUGAAAUGGGGAAUCUCUCUUUUCCUCAGAAGGGUCUCAAGAUUGGGUGUCCCCGAAACUUCCUGGAGGUCCAAGUGCCCUUACUAUCAGCCCCCACCACUGAUUCUGGCCAAGGGAGUGGAUGAAGCACAAUGGGUCGAUGCGCAAAAGCGAGAGUAUGUUAGGAAGAGGCUGAGAAGGAAACGCCUAGAAAGCCAUGUCCACCCUUUAAUUCCGAUUUUGAUUCCCGAUUUAUUAUUGUUCUCCCUGCUCUGGUUCAAUCCAUUUCCUCUUAAUGAUUCCUGACAAUUUUCCUUGUCUCAGAAUUGUAUAAUAAUAAGUACAUAACUCUUAUGUCUUAUCACUUCUCUUGUCAACGUUGGAUCAUUUUAUUUACUUUGGUCGAUUUCGGAUUUCUUUCUCGGUAGCACUGUUGUUUGCCUUAUCAAAAUCUCUACUCUCAGAAAUUUUUCUUUCUUUUAUAGAAGAUGAUGAUGAUGAUGAUGAUGAUGAAAAGGGGCUUAAAUUGAGGCCCCAAGUAAAUUAAUUAGAAGCUACAACAUCAUAAAGCAAAAUCAGUAAUAAAGAGUUCUGAUUCACUUUGCUUAAUAUAGAAUUUACCUUUGCCAGUUAAGCCCGCCUGUAAUUUUGGUUAACGUCUAAACAUGCAUUUAUUUAUUUAUUUACAACUUACCUCAUUAAUUUUCUCCCCAUGUAUAACCCACCAAACUCCAACUGCACUACCUGAAACUCUUUAUUCGGUUUAGUUAAAUCUGGCCUCCACUUUACCACAACAUAGUGGGGCUGGCCAUCGCCUCCACUUUAUUCAAUACAUUCAGCUUCUAGAAUUCCAAAAACAAUACAUCAUGAUUUGUUUAUUAUGUUACUUUAAUUUUUUUUCCCCUUUUCGUCUAGUCUUGUUUUAUAUUAGCAGUGUUGAUCGUUGAUAAAGGUUGAAGUUUCGGAUUUUAAUGUUUGAGUUUAAGUUCUACCAUCUAUAAUUGCAAUACGGGUCUCUCUUACCUUGUGUAUAUGCGGUGUGUUUUAUCUAAUUAUUUUUAGAUUUUACUAUGUUUUUGUUCAGUUCUUCAUCUAUUAUGAAUUGCAUCAGUUGAAUUUUACGUUAUAAUUUAUUGAACAUAUAUUUAUUUUUGUCUUCUAAUUGUACAAUUUUUAUACCAGUGAAUUUUUUUAAAAAAAAUCAUGUGAUUAUGGAAUAUACGACAUAUAUUUAUGAAAUUUUAAGAAAAGAAAAAAAGAAAUGUUAAGUAUACACCAUUUUCAGUCACAUUAGAAUCCUGUUAAUACAUUAUUUCUACGGCUUCUACAUCACUAAACUGAUGAUCACAUUGGAUACUACCUUUUCUUUUCUUUUUGACUUAAUAGUAUUAAUGGUUUUCGAGUUUGGCAAACAUUUUUUUUCAAAAUUGGGUAGGAUUCGAUGGCCAGAUUGAUACAAUCUUUGUACGGCCGAAACGCUUCCCUACCGUUAAUCAAGCAACCAAACUUCACUUAAUCCAAGGAAAAGAAGAAAAGCAAAAAGUAAAAGCCAAAAGAAAAAUUAUUCAAUUGAUUGGUCAAACACUAACGUUGACAAUAAAGCUUCUUUUUUUUUUUAACUCUCUACCAUUGAUCUUUUAUUCCACCCCUUCCUUACAGCUUUUUGUUGUUGUUGUUUUCUAAAACAGAACCUCAUAAUAUCAGACAUAUUGGGACUCUGAAAAUUCAACCUUCAGGGAGAAAAAAUCCUUCUUGUUUCCAUUAUGUUUAUUUUGUUAUAGAUGGAGGCAUCGGUGCUUGAGUUGUGAAUGCAUAAGCAUGAACCAUAAAGUUCAAUCAAGAUAUGAGGAGAAUCUUCUUUUUCCUUUAUCUUUGCUUUUCUGUUUUUCCUUUGUUGAUGGCGCCAAACGUAGUCUUAAAGUAUAUUAGAUACAUCUGGUGACCAACAUUCAAUUAUAAUAAAGAGUAUAGAUAGAUACAUCAAUACUAUCCAGCCCUCUUUCAUGAUGAUGUUGCAAGUUUUGCACUCCACCCCCAUAUUAUUAUGAAGAGGAGAAAUUCCUGUUAGUUGAGCUUUAUUUUCUAAGAAAUGACUUCUAACAUUAAUAAAUUUGAAUCAUGAUAUAUUUAUAGCUAUUUCUCUUACUCUCUCGUAUUAUAGCUUUCUUUAUAUGCUAAAACAGGAGAUGAGUAGGAAGAAACAAUUUUUGUUAAAAGACGUGAAGUUGUCUUAAGAUUGACAAGGCAGUUAGAUGCAUUUAAAUUGGUAUUUAAGGAUAUGUCUGUAUAUAACUAGAACUAAUUAAGAUUACAAUACACUGCAAAAUGAUUCCACCUUUUUUUUUGGGGGGUUCUCUCUUUUAUAUGAUCAAAUACAAUGUUGAUAUGAACAAGGUUUUGCAGUUGUAGAAAAUCGUGGAGGACUUUUUUUUUUACAAAAAAGAAAGAUAAAAUUCAUAAAAAAUGUGAAGUUAAGCAUAUUUAGCGACGGGUGGGGUAUGGGGUGGUUUGCUAACAUGGAAUGCGCAUGGCAGAUUGGCACUUUAAAGAAGGGAUGGGGCCGAGGGGGCGGGAGUUGUUAAAUCCUCGGGGUAGAAAAAGGUAAGUAAGCGUGUCCCUGGCAUUAGACAAGGAGUAGAGGGGGCAGCACAUGCACAGCAUAACUAUAUCUCUUUAUUUUAUGUCCCACUCCACUCCCCCUCAUCUCUGCCGCAACAUUAAAUACCAUAUGCAUCCUUACUAUUCAUAAUGGUUUUUUGUUGGGUUGAUGUUACAAAAUUACAAUUUUACUAUAGAUGUAUUUAUAAUAUUUAAGAUUUUUUUAAGUAGGAGUUUAAUCUUUGGUGGUGAUGUUGAUUUUAGAUAUAUUCCCCACCCGCAAGUAGAUAUCAUACAUUCUAAUAUAAUUAAAAAUGGUAUAAUUAAAAUAUUUUUAAUAUUUUUAAUAUUAUUUUUAUAUUUUUGAAUUUUUAAAUUUUAAAAAAUUAAUUAAAUGUUGGUGCGUCAUCUACAUGUAUGCAACGGCGAAGCUUAAAAAAUAUUAAUUUUUUUCAUUCGUGAUUUGACAAAAAAAAGUAAGUUUAAAGGCUAAAAAAGCAUAAAUUUAAAUAAAUAGCUAAAAUAAUUUUUUUACAAAGUUAGAGAGCCAAAUAAAUUAUUAUUUUAUUUAAAAAUAUUUUUUUAAUAAAUUAUUAAUUUAGUCACAUAAUCUAAUAUAAUUUAAUUCAAACCCGUUGGUUCCAUCAACAAAUUGAUCUGCAUGAGACUUAAGGGUUAGAAUUUGGUGCGUAACUCUUUUUCCUCCUAAUUUUUACUUUUAAAAAGAAAUUGCAAUACAAUUUUUUUAUUAUAGAAUUCUCCAAUUUUUAUUUAUUUAUUUGAUCAGGAAGCUUUAUUGACACUGCUUUUAUUUUUCCAUCAAUCCAAUUUAAGAGACAAUUCACUUUUUAUAAUUAACAAAAAACAAAAAGAAAAUAAAAGAAAUUACUUUUUCCUUUUUCGUGUUCGAUACAAGAUAGAUGAAAUAUGGAAAAUAAAAUGCAAUGAAAAUAUAUUAUUAGUGAUAUAUCACCUCCAUUAUGUAGGGGAAAGAAAUAAAAAUAAUAUUAAUUUAUGAUACUUUCAUAAUGUGGUUAAAAAUAAUUAUCUAGUAUUUUUUUGUAAAAAAAAAGGAAAGUUGAUAUCUAUGCUACUAAUGAAGUUUCUUAGUGAGUUUGUUACUAAUCAUAUUCGAAUUUUAAAAAUUGUGAAUUUUUAAAAAAUAAGUUAUUUAUAUAACUAGUAAUAUACUAUUUUGACUCUUUUUUUAUCCGAGUUAAUGUUAGUUAUCUCGUGAUACCAAUUCAAUAAAACACUUUAUUUAUAUUAAAUUAAUAUAGGUGAGAAGUAAAAUUAUUUAACAAAUAUAUUCUUAAAAAUACUAAAGGAGGUUUUGGUUGAAUAGCAAAAUAUAAAUAUUACAAAUUAUAAAGAUGUAGGUUCAAUAUUUUUACUAUUUUUCUAUAUAAAAUGAUAACCUUAUAAAAGUAGUUUGUGGUUGAUGGACUAAUUUUUUAAAAAGAAUUAAUAUUAGUAAAGAUAUAUAUGGUACUAAACAUAAGGAAAUAGGGGAAAACGUAUCAUAUUUGUAGUGGGAGAAUGGGAUCAUUACAAGGAAAAAUGAAAUAUAUAUCAUUAACAACAAACAUAAAAGAAAGCGUCUUUUGAUAAAGUUGUUAUUGGUGUAAUGUGAAGGGACCACAAUCAUCACCAUUCACCACUUGCUCCUAAUUGAGUUGAAAUCUUUUUACAACAUAGAAAACUAGAACAUCUCCCUUUCUUGCUUCCUAUAUAUAGAUUUUGUAUCAUCGCAAUUCCACAUCACACACGCAAGCAAAGCAAAGCAUUAGCAACCAUAGCCAUGGCUUCCUCACCAAAACUCUUCUCUAUGUCUAUCCUCUUCCUUUUUGCCCUCUUCUCCAUGCAAAUCCAUGCUAGAGAGUACUUCAGCAAAUUCCCAAGAGUUAACACCAAUGAGAAAGAGACAACAACCAGAGAGCAAGAGCACGAGACCUUCGUUCCCCAGACCACCCAAAAGCCAGAAGAGCAAGAGCCAAGGUUCAUCCCUGAAACCCAAAAUGGUUAUGGCCUUUACGGCCACGAGUCAGGCUCAGGCUCAAGCCGGCCCAGUUUCACCACCAAAGAAACCUAUGAACCCUAUGUCACCCCUGUUAGAUUCCACCCUGAUGAACCCUAUAACAGCAUCCCCGAAUCCUCCAACAAUAAAGACACUUACUACUACAACAAGAAUGCCUACAAGUCCACUAAGCAGCAAAACUUGGGCGAGGCCAUUUUCACCGAGAAAGGAUGGAGCACCAAGGAAAACCAGAACAACAACUACUACAACGGCAACAUUAAUGGCGAGAAGCAAGGCAUGAGCGAUACUAGGUACUUGGAGAAUGGAAAGUACUACUAUGACGUCAAGAGUGAGAACAGCUAUUAUCCAAACCAGCUCGACAACUCAAGAGGAGUUGCUUCCAGGAACGAGUUCGAUGAGAAUCGUUACAACAACAUGGGAAGGUACCACCAGAACCAAGAGGAGUUCGAGGAAAGCGAGGAAGAGUUCGAACCCUGAUCACCUGUCGUACAGUAUUUCUACAUUUGAUGUGUGAUUUGUGAAGAACAUCAAACAAAACAAGCACUGGCUUUAAUAUGAUGAUAAGUAUUAUGGUAAUUAAUUAAUUGGCAAAAACAACAAUGAAGCUAAAAUUUUAUUUAUUGAGCCUUGCGGUUA